rnacentral:tRNA from 1 species
GGAAGCUUGGCAGAGUGGUCGAUUGCACCGGUCUUGAAAACCGGCAAACCGAAAGGUUUCUAGGGUUCGAAUCCCUAAGCUUCCG